UCUUUUUCACUUUUGGAUUUUGCUUCUGUCGGCUGAAACAAGUUUUCGUGUCGUUUAUUGUUGGUGUCGCUGCACGAUAAUUGCGCCCCAUCGACGAUUACAAGAUCGCCUGAUCGCUUUUUUGGUACCUUCGGGCGAACUUUUCGGCUUCUUGUUGCUGUGAAACCGCUUUGUCGCCGAAUUUGUGCUGUACAAUGACUAACCGGUAACGUAGUAGCAAGAGGAAAAGCAUAGCGCAGCGACCCAAAUCGAUUGCAAGUUUUACCCUCCUAUUUGCUGCACCAGUAAACACCGAAAUAUGCAGCAACGUAACUUAUCACAGCACUGAUUUAUUGGAAACGCCAAAAGUUACGCCACAAAAGGUCUUCGAAAAUUGGGAAAAAUAUAUAAACGGGCACUUAAAAGCUUCGCUAUGUAUUUGCGGGGUUAAAGGAGACACACCCGUUGUUUUCUAGGAUACCAAAAAGCAAAGUUCACUGAAGCUUAUUGGUUUACAAGAACAAUGAAGCAGUUUUGCGUUUCUAUAACACAUAUGGCCGAGGCUUAUAACAAGUGUAUGGACAAUUUAAUUCGAUGUUGGUGCUUGAAUUGGCUCAGGAGCUUAUAUAUUUUGAAGGCGAUAAUAUAGAUUUGUAUUAAAAUGCGUUAAAAUGUCAAAUUUUGUCAGUCUGGGUCAAAAGUGAUCAGAUGUUAUAUAUGCUAGCGUUAAACACUCGCUAAACAUAAGAGAUUGACUCGACAACGAUAAAAGGCCAAAUUGUAAACGAGAGAAAUCUUAUACCCAGAUCAAAAUUAUUGUUGACUUGGUAAAAAAUUAUUGGUUGAAUCGAGAAUAAAGAGGAAUGUAAUAAUACCAA